UACGUAGGGUGCGAGCGUUAAUCGGAAUUACUGGGCGUAAAGUGUGCGCAGGCGGCCGCGCAAGUCGAGUGUGAAAGCCCCGGGCUUAACUUGGGAAUUGCGCUCGAAACUACGUGGCUGGAGUGUGGCAGAGGAAGGUGGAAUUCCACGUGUAGCGGUGAAAUGCGUAGAGAUGUGGAGGAACACCAAUGGCGAAGGCGGCCGUCUGGGCCAACACUGACGCUCAUGCACGAAAGCGUGGGGAGCAAACAGG
rnacentral:rRNA from 1 species